GCAGACGAUCUCGUACCAGUCAUCCAGGAAACACCCAGCUCCUAAUCCGAAGGGGAAGGGAAUGGCGACAUUCCCGCAUGUUUCAGAACACUGUGCAGCUCCUGAUGCUUGUGCCGUGAGGGAAACCAGAAGGAAAAGGAUUUGAAGAACCGA